rnacentral:lncRNA from 1 species
CGUGAGCUACAUUUCUUCUCCUCAGAAAAUUGUUCAAGCCGAGAAUCUCCUAAUAAUAUGUUAAAAUGUGUGCUGGCUGGAAAGGAAAAACACAAGGCACCAUUUCCUCCUCUGCAAAGUAACGACUCUACCAAGAAGAUGUAGGCACCGUCCCAGCCUUCAAAAACGUUACAACCCCCUUGCAGAAUCUGCCGAGACAGAGUGAAUAGCCUCCUUCAAUGUGACGACUGCAACUUUUUCUAAGGGGCCAUGUGUCACAAAAUUUAGGGUGGGGUCCACCCUAAAACCUUAGGGUUUGGUGCC